CAUUCUGAGGCAGCCACGGAAACGAUCGCAACUCAGGGACCUAGAUGACGAUGGCUGUAAAUCAUACAACGUGUUGGAAAUUGUAAAACAAGUAUUACAUGACGAGUUUCGCCAUGAUUUACUCCUCUGGAUGGGGAUUCCGUUAGGGUCAACGACGUAAGUCCUUUAUCGACAGGCUAGGAGAUUCAAAGGUGUACAACACCCUGCGUCUACUGAGAGCAAUUGAUAGUAGGUGUAAAACCAUUCUUGGCGCUCAAUCCGCAUCAGGGUCCAGUACUAACCACCAGAGGUACGGCAUGCUCACGAAAGGUAAUUUUUCUCUGUGAUAACCAUGGACUGCUGCCACAAUAUAGCAAAAAGGAUAAAAUGCAGCAUUAUUUGCAGGAGGAAACCAAAGGUGUACCACGUGGUAACCUUGUACCGUUUACCCGCCUCGUCCACACCUGCCCUCUAGACGGAAACACAGUCGUCACCAAACGCAGGGGACAUUCAACUAGCGAUGCUAAACGACUACAACUUCGGCUGGCUUGGCUAUGCUGAAGCCGGGAAGGAUUGCGUAUGCGUCCC
rnacentral:lncRNA from 1 species